UUCCUGCUCUUGGUUGAGAUUUGCGGACCUUUGUAUCCACUGUGGUCUCCUUGGAACAAGCAACUGGAAAUUCUUCACACCAGCUAUGGCUGGUAGGAAUUUCGGGCCACAACUCAGGCUUCCAGACUCUGGACGGUAUUCCCAGAGUCAGCUCCCUUCUGAAUUGGGAGAAAGAGAGAAAGGAAAAUACAAGAAGACCCAACCAUGUGGAUUAACACCCUAUAGCAUGAUCCAGGC
rnacentral:lncRNA from 1 species